UGGGGAAUAUUGCACAAUGGGCGAAAGCCUGAUGCAGCGACGCCGCGUGCGGGAUGAAGGCCUUCGGGUUGUAAACCGCUUUUGAUUGGGAGCAAGCGAGAGUGAGUGUACCUUUCGAAUAAGCACCGGCUAACUACGUGCCAGCAGCCGCGGUAAUACGUAGGGUGCAAGCGUUAUCCGGAAUUAUUGGGCGUAAAGAGCUCGUAGGCGGUUUGUCGCGUCUGGUGUGAAAGUCCAUCGCUUAACGGUGGAUCUGCGCCGGGUACGGGCAGGCUAGAGUGCGACAGGGGAGACUGGAAUUCCCGGUGUAACGGUGGAAUGUGUAGAUAUCGGGAAGAACACCAAUGGCGAAGGCAGGUCUCUGGGUCGUCACUGACGCUGAGGAGCGAAAGCGUGGGGAGCGAACAGGAUUAGAUACCCUGGUAGUCCACGCCGUAAACGGUGGAUGCUGGAUGUGGGGCCCAUUCCACGGGUUCCGUGUCGGAGCUAACGCGUUAAGCAUCCCGCCUGGGGAGUACGGCCGCAAGGCUAAAACUCUAAAGUGAAUUGAC
rnacentral:rRNA from 1 species